rnacentral:rRNA from 1 species
CCCCCGGACGGGUUCUGAGACACUAACCCGGGCCCUACGGGGCGCAGCAGGUGCGAAACCUCCACAAUGUACGAAAGUGCGAUGGGGGAAUCCUAAGUGCUGGCGCAAUGCGUCAGCUUUUCUCGAGUCUAAAUCGCUUGAGGAGUAAGUGGUGGGUAAGACCGCUGCCAGCCGCCGCGGUAAUAGCGGCGCCACAAGUGGCAUCCAUUUAUAUUGGGUUUAAAGCAUCCGUAGCCGGCCUGAUAAGUCUACUGUGAAAUCCUAUAGAAAACUAUAGGGCGUGCGGUAGAAACUAUUACGGCUUGGGACCAGGAGAGGUCAGAGGUACUCCUAGGGUAGCGGUAAAAUGCUGUAAUCCUAGGGGGACCCCCUGUGGCGAAGGCGUCUGACUGGAAUGGAUCCGACGGUGAGGGAUGAAAACUAGGGGAGCGACCCGGAUUAGAUACCCGGUUAGUCCUAGCUGUAAACGAUGCUCACUUGGUAUUGGAAAUAGUUCGUGGAUUUCCAGGCCGAAGGGAGGGCGGUUCCCUGUGCCACCUGGGGAGUACGGUCGCAAGGCUGAAACUUAAA